rnacentral:ncRNA from 2 species
AAAGUUCAGGGUGAUGGAGUCCACCAUCAACCACUGCGAUCGGCAGUUGAUGACUCCUAUUUCGAA